rnacentral:rRNA from 1 species
GAUGAACGCUAGCGGCAGGCCUAACACAUGCAAGUCGAGGGAGAAGCCCUUUCGUGGGCCGAUACCGGCGCACGGGUGCGUAACGCGUAUGCAACCUACCUUUCACAGGGGGAUAGCCCGAAGAAAUUUUGAUUAAUACCCCAUAAUAUUAUUGGAUGGCAUCAUUUGAUAAUUAAAACUGCGGUGGUGAAAGAUGGGCAUGCGUCCUAUUAGCUAGUUGGUGUGGUAACGGCACCCCAAGGCUACGAUAGGUAGGGGCCCUGAGGGGGAGAUCCCCCACAAUGGUACUGAGACAGGGACCAGACUGCUACGGGAGGCAGCAGUGAGGAAUAUUGGUCAAUGGUCGGAAGACUGAACCAGCCAUGCCGCGUGCAGGAAGAAUGCCUUAUGGGUUGUAAACUGCUUUUAUAUGGGAAGAAUAAGGCGUACGUGUACGUUGAUGACGGUACCAUAUGAAUAAGCAUCGGCUAACUCCGUG